ensembl:lncRNA
GGAUAUGGGACAUGGGGUACAGGAUGGGGAUAGGAUAUGGGAUGUGCGGGUAUGGAUGUGGGAUGGCUGUAGGAUGGGGUAUGGGAUUGGAUAAGGGAUGGGACAUUGAUACGGGAUGGAUAAGGAGAUGGGAUCGGUCUGGGAUGAGAUAUGGAUUUGAGAUGGAUUUGGGAUGGUUAUGGGAUGGAUAAGGUGAUGUGGAUAUAGAAAGAGAUUUGGCAUGGAGUUGGGAUGGGAUAUGGAUAGGGGAUGAGAUAUGGGAUGGGAUACGGAUAUGGGAUGGGAUAUGGAUUUGAGAUGGAUUUGGGAUGGUUAUGGGAUGGAUAAGGUGAUGUGGAUAUAGAAAGAGAUUUGGCAUGGAGUUGGGAUGGGAUAUGGAUAGGGGAUGAGAUAUGGGAUGGGAUACGGGGAUUUGGACAUGGGAUGGGCUAUGGAUACGGGAUGGAUUUGGGAUAUGGAUACGGGAUGGAUUUGGGAUACAGAUAUGGGAUGGAUUUGGGAUAUGGAUAUGGGAUGGAUUUGGGAUAUGGGUGUGGGAUGGAUAUGAUGGUUUGGGUAUUGGAAGGGUUAUGGAUACAGGAUGGGAUAUGGGAUGGGAUAUGGAUAUGGGAUGGGUAAGAGAUGGGGCUGUAGUGGUUAUAGGGCCAUGGGGGCUAUGGGGCUGGGAUGCUGCAGUGUCCCCAAAGCACCCCCUGGUGUGACACACGGAGCCCCACAGCCGCUCCUCUGCCCUUUAUUCACGUAGGGGGGGCAUCCCCCAACACCCCUUUAUCACGAAAUAAACUUUAAUCCCAAAAAUAAAGGGUGCCCCCCGCCCCCACCCCAUGGGAACAGUGCGGUCUGCAAUGGGGGACGCACUGAAUGGGUCCCCAGAGGGGGUCCCCAACUUUGGGAUGUGACGCCAUGGUGGGGAUGUGGGGGCACUCCCACCUCUGGGACAGACCCCAACUUUGGGCUGUGACACUGUGGGGGCGUCCCCAACUUUGGGGUCUGACACCAUCGGGGGACACAGAGCUGUCCCAACUUUGAGAUGUGACACUGUCGGGGCGUCCCCAACUUUGGGGUGUGACACUGUGGGGGCAUCCCCACCUUUGGGGUGUGACACGGUGACGCGGUGCCCCCACUUCCCCUGGGAAGUCCUCAAGCUGCUCACGGUGUCCCCAACUUCGACGCAAUGCCCCCAGGGGGGUCCUUUUGUCCCCUCUGCGUGACGGUGACACCCAAUGACAACGCCGCCGCGUCACGGCUGUUCCACACUGAUGUCACCCGUGGUCCCCUCUGCUGGUGGCACAGAGUUCACCUCCCGUCCUCGGGACAGAGGAUGGUGACAGCGCCACAGGGCUCCGGUGUCACCGGG